rnacentral:ncRNA from 1 species
UUUUAUGAGAGUUUGAUCCUGGCUCAGGAUGAACGCUGGCGGCGUGCCUAACACAUGCAAGUCGAACGGAGAUUACGGACGGAAGUUUUCGGAUGGAAGACUGUAAUUCUUAGUGGCGGACGGGUGAGUAACGCGUGGGCAACCUGCCCUAUACAGGGGGAUAGCAGCUGGAAACGGCUGGUAAGACCGCAUAAGUCGGUUAAAUCGCAUGAUUUGAUCGGGAAAUGAGCAAUCAGGUAUAGGAUGGGCCCGCGUCCGAUUAGCCAGUUGGCAGGGUAAAAGCCU